UACGUAGGGGGCAAGCGUUGUCCGGAAUCAUUGGGCGUAAAGAGCGUGUAGGCGGCCCGGUAAGUCCGCUGUGAAAGUCCAGGGCUCAACCCUGGGAUGCCGGUGGAUACUGUCGGGCUCGAGUCCGGAAGAGGAGUGUGGAAUUCCGGGUGUAGCGGUGAAAUGCGCAGAUAUCCGGAGGAACACCGGUGGCGAAGGCGGCUUCCUGGACCGACACUGACGCUGAGGCGCGAAAGCUAGGGGAGCAAACGGG
rnacentral:rRNA from 1 species